AUAAAGGCAGGGUGAGACUUUUAUUUUGUAGCUGUACUUUGCCAAGUCCCCUGUUGUUGUUUUGAUUGCUUCCAAAGGGCAACAUGAUUCGGUGAGCAGUGCUUUGAAAAAGCGGGUUUUACAGUGUGGGGAUCUCUGCCGCUGGAAAUGGCCAGUGCUCUGAGGACUGAGGUGCUGCGCUUGUAUAAAACGCUGCUGUUUCUCGGUCGGGAGUAUCCAAAAGGAGCUGAUUAUUUCAGGGAUCGCCUGAGAGCGGCGUUCAUCAAAAACCGAGACGUGAGCGACCCGGAGGAGAUCAGGCAGCUGAUCAGCCGCGGGGAGUACGUGGUGAAGGAGCUGGAGGCUUUAUACUACCUGAGGAAAUACAGAGCCAUGAAACAGCGAUACUACGAAAAUGAGUAACAGAUCUUCAGGAAAACUUAUAGUCCAACAUGAUUAAAUCAGAUUUCUGUUCUUUACUACUACACUUUUUUUGAUCAGUGGAGGUAUGAUCAAAAGAAGACAUCUCAUUAAAACCAUUUAGACCACCAGCAGCAGAAGAAGCAGUUUCCAGCAUUAAGUGUUCAGGAGCUCCAGCAGAGGACGAGGCAGAUAAAGUGGCAGAGCAAGAAAAGGAGGAUGGUGGCGGACAUGGGGACUCCAGCCAAAAGCAGUUUGAACUUAAAAGAGACGAAGCAGGUACAAAUCCAUUUCCUCCUGUUCUUCCUUGUGAUUCUUGACUGCUCCCUUCUGUGCCGUGGAGCCGCCGACGCUUCAGUGUUCUCUGAGAGUUUGGAGUUUUGUGGAGGUAUCCAGGCAUCAUGUCCCAUCUGUCUGAUCUUCUGGCAUUUGAAGCACACAUCAAAGCCUAGAAGUGGGGUAAUAUGAAUAAAGCUUUAUCCCGGAACAAUAUAUGCACCAAAGACAUAAAUCUGGUUAUGAAUGAAAGCUACUCUUACCUCACUGUGAUUAUCAGAUACCUGGGACUGCUGUUUUCUUCUAAACAAAACAGGGCUGCACAGCACAAGCAUACAUUUUUAAUAGAUAAUACCAACAGCAUCUACCAGAUAUGUGCUUGGGUCUAAGUUUGCAUGAAUGCCCCCCAUUUAUAUCAGCUAUGACUCCUGAGUUUCAGGUACAUUAAGGUUUAACUAUUGAGAUGCAACAGACUAAGAACCAGAGAAUAUAGAGGAAACAUAUACAGCUCUGGGGAAAAAAAUGUCUUUGAUUUUACCUAAUUAAAAAAUCUCUGGAAUAUAAUUAAGAGGAAGAUGGACCACAAGCUAUCAAGCUAUCUGAACUGCUUGAAUUUUUGCACCAGGAGUGGCAUAAAAUAUCCAAAAGCAGUGUGUAAGACUGGUUGAGGAGAAAAUGUCAAGUUUAAUGAGAACUGUGAUUAAAAAAAACUAGGGUUAUUCCACCAAAUAUUGAUUUCUGAACUUGUUUUUGCUUACAUUAUUUAAGAUCUGAAAGCUCUUCGUCUUUUUAUUAUUUUAGACAUUUCUCAUUUUCUGCAAAUAAAUGCUCUAAAUGACAAUAAUUUUAUUUGGAAUUUGGGAGAGAUGUUCGUAGUUUAUGGAAUAAAACAACAAUGUUCUGAAGUGGUCUCUUUUUUUCCAGAGCUGUAUAUCUAACAUUAUUCGCAUUGGGUGCAAUAUUUGGAUUAUUUUCGAUACAUACCUUUCAGGAAUUUCAGGAGUUUCAGUAAUAAGUAAAUGAGAAAAAUCAUGAGAGGCACCCAGAUCAUUAAACGGCAGGUCGCUGUCAUCCAGCAGGCAGGCGUUAUUGAGAGAUUCAGCUGCUUCAGGAUCAUCCAGCUCUGGAAAAGGACUGCCAUCAGGCCUCGGCUCUUCCAGUGUGGCAUUUUGUUGAUAGAGUUGACUAAAGCCUCUGGAAUGCCCAUCUCCUGGAUUCCAAUGUCUGCAGGAUGGAAGAGCAUCUCUGGGACUGCAAAUCUCUCAUUGUAAGGGAUGAUGUGUGUGAAGGAAAAGCCACUAUCCACCACAAUGCAGCACAACUCUGAAUUGUUCUCUUGGAAGUAUCUGUGGCCACUCAGAGAUCCAGCUGGAACAUGACAAAAGACAGAAGUGUAUGAGUGUGCUUCUUUUUCUUUCUUGUUACUAUUUACACCAUAUAAUAAAAAAGUUAUCACUGAAAUGUAACACUACAAUGUGCCUUGCACCUCCACACUUUUAUAAAUUAAAUUGGUUAUCAUUGUAAACAAAAACAUUGGAAGUUUUUCCUCUCUGUAAGGGAUUUAAUGGAUCAAAAAUGGGAUCAUACAAUUUAAUUUUUUUAUCCAGUCAAAAAUUCCACACAUAAUUAGGUACAUAUGUAGUAAUGUACUUCUUUGAAUUACAAAACUAGCCAUGAUUUUGUGGACAUAAAUGUUUCUAUUACUUAGAUAUACUUAAGUCCUUAACAUUUAUAUACUUUGCUUAUUUUUUGUCACAAUAUUGACCAUCUGAAUGUGUGGAUCUCUGCUGAGUGAACCUAAAACAGACAUACAAACUUCAGCUCCUGCUUAUGUCAGAUGUUGAAAAGACUAAAUUGUUCCACAGAAGUUUUAUAAGUUACUCAAUAUUUGCAUUAUUUAAUCCUAUUGUACUUUUACAUGUUAUGUAAAGGACAUAUUUACCUUUCUUGAGUCAUUAAUUUCCCAGCAUAACAAUAUGGUUACUACAGUAUGGUUAGCACAGUGUAGUAGACAGUUGCAAUGCUCUGCUUUUGAAAGACAAUUGCUACAGCUUGCUGUAUCAUGUUUACAAUAUCUGUACCGUGAUAAAAAAAGUUGCUAUUGAUAAGACCAUAAAUGUAAAUAUGUAAACACCAAUUUACUCACCUCUGUCCACUAAUAAACUGUACAAAAAUAUGA